rnacentral:tRNA from 1 species
CCGACCUUAGCUCAGUUGGUAGAGCGGAGGACUGUAGUUUGUUCAACAGAUAUCCUUAGGUCGCUGGUUCGAAUCCGGCAGGUCGGA